GGGACCAUAGCUCAGAGCUAGAGCAGCUGCUUUGUGUGCAGAAGGCCCCAGCUUCAAUCCCAGGUAUCCCCA